GAGUUUGAUCGUGGCUCAGAUUGAACGCUGGCGGCAGGCCUAACACAUGCAAGUCGAGCGGAUGAAGGGAGCUUGCUCCUGGAUUCAGCGGCGGACGGGUGAGUAAUGCCUAGGAAUCUGCCUGGGUAGUGGGGGAUAACGUCCGGAAACGGGCGCUAAUACCGCAUACGUCCUGAGGGGAGAAAGUGGGGGAUCUUCGGACCUCACGCUAUCAGAUGAGCCUAGGUCGGAUUAGCUAGUUGGUGGGGUAAAGGCCUACCAAGGCGACGAUCCGUAACUGGUCUGAGAGGAUGAUCAGUCACACUGGAACUGAGACACGGUCCAGACUCCUACGGGAGGCAGCAGUGGGGAAUAUUGGACAAUGGGCGAAAGCCUGAUCCAGCCAUGCCGCGUGUGUGAAGAAGGUCUUCGGAUUGUAAAGCACUUUAAGUUGGGAGGAAGGGCAGUAAGUUAAUACCUUGCUGUUUUGACGUUUACCAACAGAAUAAGCACCGGCUAACUUCGUGCCAGCCGCCGCCGU
rnacentral:rRNA from 1 species